CACCGCGUAGCUCAGCUGGAUAGAGCACAUGACUACGAAUCAUGAGGCCGCAGGUUCGACUCCUGUCGCGGUGGCCA
rnacentral:tRNA from 1 species